CUUUACUGUAGUUUAAAAUUGAAUUUGGAUUUUUUUAGCGCAGUCUAAGUGGGAGGCUUUGAAAAUAUUCUUUUGGGAAUAUUAGAGCCGAUAGUGAGAGACCACUCUAUGAAAAUUAAUUUUCUAAGGGCGUUCCUUGAAACAGGACGCUUAACAGUUUUAGAUGGGCAGUUUGACUGGGGCGGUCGUCUCUUAAAAAGUAACAGAGAUGUGCAAAGGUUUCUUCAGACUGUAUGGAAAUCAGUUAUUGAGUAUAAAGGCAUAAAGAAGCUUGACUGUAAGACUUACAAGUCGAACAGGAGCGAAAGCUGGCCUUAGUGAUCCGACGGUGCUGUGUGGAAAGGCCGUCGCUAAACGGAUAAAAGUUA
rnacentral:rRNA from 1 species